CCUACGGGAGGCAGCAGUGGGGAAUAUUGCACAAUGGGCGAAAGCCUGAUGCAGCGACGCCGCGUGAGGGAUGACGGCCUUCGGGUUGUAAACCUCCUUCAGCAGGGAAGAAGCGAAAGUGACGGUACCUGCAGAAGAAGCGCCGGCUAACUACGUGCCAGCAGCCGCGGUAAUACGUAGGGCGCAAGCGUUGUCCGGAAUUAUUGGGCGUAAAGAGCUCGUAGGCGGCUUGUCACGUCGGUUGUGAAAGCCCGGGGCUUAACCCCGGGUCUGCAGUCGAUACGGGCAGGCCAGAGUGUGGUAGGGGAGAUCGGAAUUCCUGGUGUAGCGGUGAAAUGCGCAGAUAUCAGGAGGAACACCGGUGGCGAAGGCGGAUCUCUGGGCCAUUACUGACGCUGAGGAGCGAAAGCGUGGGGAGCGAACAGGAUUAGAUACCCUGGUAGUCCACGCCGUAAACGGUGGGAACUAGGUGUUGGCGACAUUCCACGUCGUCGGUGCCGCAGCUAACGCAUUAAGUUCCCCGCCUGGGGAGUACGGCCGCAAGGCUAAAACUCAAAUGAAUUGACGG
rnacentral:rRNA from 1 species